UACGUAGGGUGCGAGCGUUGUCCGGAAUUACUGGGCGUAAAGAGCUCGUAGGUGGUUUGUCGCGUCGUCUGUGAAAUCCCGGGGCUUAACUCCGGGCGUGCAGGCGAUACGGGCAUAACUUGAGUGCUGUAGGGGAGACUGGAAUUCCUGGUGUAGCGGUGAAAUGCGCAGAUAUCAGGAGGAACACCGAUGGCGAAGGCAGGUCUCUGGGCAGUAACUGACGCUGAGGCUCGAAAGCGUGGGGAGCAAACAGG
rnacentral:rRNA from 1 species